rnacentral:misc_RNA from 1 species
GUUUCUCAGAAAACUAACAACUUUCCCACUUUGGAAUUUUCUUUACCUUACCUAAGAAGGGUAUUAAUUUGAUUCUUGUGGGAAGGAAGAAGGAUCAAGAAUGGCGAUUUCGAUUUCUGCUAUGAGUUUUGGAACCUCAGUUUCUUCAUAUUCUUGUUUUAGAGCUAGGAGUUUUGAGAAGUCAUCAGUUUUAUGCAAUUCCCAGAACCCAUGUCGGUUUAAUUCUGUUUUUCCGAUUCGGAAAUCUGAUGGGGCUUCACGGUGUUCUGUUUCUAGGAAAUCAUGUAGAGUUCGAGCAACGUUGUUACAAGAGAAUGAAGAAGAAGUGGUUGUGGAGAAAUCUUUUGCACCUAAGAGUUUUCCUGAUAACGUGGGAGGGGGAAGUAAUGGGAAGCCACCAGAUGAUUCAUCCUCUAACGGUCUAGAGAAAUGGGUUAUAAAGCUUGAGCAGUCUGUAAAUAUCUUACUCACGGAUUCAGUGAUAA